rnacentral:rRNA from 1 species
CGAGGGGAGUGAAAAAGAACCUGAAACCGUGUACGUACAAGCAGUGGGAGCACAGAGCAAUCUGUGUGACUGCGUACCUUUUGUAUAAUGGGUCAGCGACUUAUAUUCUGUAGCAAGGUUAACCGAAUAGGGGAGCCGAAGGGAAACCGAGUCUUAACUGGGCGUUAAGUUGCAGGGUAUAGACCCGAAACCCGGUGAUCUAGCCAUGGGCAGGUUGAAGGUUGGGUAACACUAACUGGAGGACCGAACCGACUAAUGUUGAAAAAUUAGCGGAUGACUUGUGGCUGGGGGUGAAAGGCCAAUCAAACCGGGAGAUAGCUGGUUCUCCCCGAAAGCUAUUUAGGUAGCGCCUCGUGAAUUCAUCUCCGGGGGUAGAGCACUGUUUCGGCAAGGGGGUCAUCCCGACUUACCAACCCGAUGCAAACUGCGAAUACCGGAGAAUGUUAUCACGGGAGACACACGGCGGGUGCUAACGUCCGUCGUGAAGAGGGAAACAACCCAGACCGCCAGCUAAGGUCCCAAAGUCAUGGUUAAGUGGGAAACGAUGUGGGAAGGCCCAGACAGCCAGGAUGUUGGCUUAGAAGCAGCCAUCAUUUAAAGAAAGCGUAAUAGCUCACUGGUCGAGUCGGCCUGCGCGGAAGAUGUAACGGGGCUAAACCAUGCAC